rnacentral:rRNA from 1 species
UACGGAGGAUCCAAGCGUUAUCCGGAUUUAUUGGGCGUAAAGCGCGUGUAGGCGGCUUUGCAAGUCGGGUGUGAAAGCCCUCAGCUCAACUGAGGAAGUGCGCCCGAAACUGCAGAGCUUGAGUGCCGGAGAGGGUGGCGGAAUUCCCCAAGUAGAGGUGAAAUUCGUAGAUAUGGGGAGGAACACCGGUGGCGAAGGCGGCCACCUGGACGGUAACUGACGCUGAGACGCGAAAGCGUGGGGAGCAAACAGG